rnacentral:rRNA from 1 species
UUCCGGUUGAUCCUGCCGGAGGGUAUUGCUAUCAGAGUACGACUAAGACAUGCAAGUUUUACGGUGCAGCUUUGCACCGUAGCAGACGGCUGAGUAACACGUAGAGAACCUUCUCUUGUGACGGGGCCAAUCUCGCGAAAGUGAGAACAAUUCCCGAUAGGAGAGAGCAACUGGAACGUUGUUUCUCCCAAAGGCGCGCUGAAAUGCAGGCGUUGCGCACAAGAAUGGCUCUGCGUCUGAUUAGGUAGUUGGUGAGGGUAACGGCCCACCAAGCCGAUAAUCAGUAGGGGCUAUGGGAGUAGUAGCCCCCAGACGGGCACUGAGACAAGGGCCCGAGCCCUACGGGGUGCAGCAGUCGCGCAACCUUCGCAAUGCACGAAAGUGUGACGAGGGAACUCUGAGUGCCAACCUAACAGUUGGCUUUUAAUCACCUUGAACUGGUGGUUGAAUAAGAAGCGGGUAAUUGCUGUGCCAGCCGCCGCGGUAAAACAGCUGCUUCAAGUGAUACCCACGAAUAUUGAGCCUAAAACGAGUGUAGCGGGCUUUGCCAGUUCCCUGUGAAAUCCACCAACUCAAUUGGUGGGCGCGCAGGGAAUACUACAAGGCUUGGGAAUGGGGGAGGUCAGGGGUACUGUGGGGGGAGGAGUAAAAUCCUUUAAUCCUCGCAGGACCAUCGGUGGCGAAGGCGCCUGACCAAAACAUGUCCGACCGUGAGACUCGAAGGCCAGGGGAGCAAAUCGGAUUAGAUACCCGAGUAGUCCUGGCAGUAAAUUAUGUGGACUAGGCGUUGCCGCCACUACGUGUGGCUGCAGUGCCGCAGCGAAGGCGUUAAGUCCACUGCUUGGGGAGUACGGUCGCAAGACUGAAACUUAAAGGAAUUGGCGGGGGAGCACCACAAGGGGUGGAUGCUGCGGUUCAAUUGGACUCAACGCCGGGAAACUCACCAGGAGAGACGGCAGAAUGAAGCUCAGACUGAAGAUCUUAGCCGACAAGCCGAGAAGUGUUGCAUGGCCAGCGUCAGUUCGUGCCGUGAGGUGUCAGGUUAAGUCCUGCAACGAACGAGAUCUCUGUUAACAGUUGCUACGAUUCGCGCAAGCGGGUCGGCACUCUGUUGAGACUGCCAUCGUUAAGAUGGAGGAAGGAGGAGGCGACGCUAGGUCUGUAUGGCCUGAAUCUCCUGGGCCACACGUGGCAUACAAAGGUGGAGACAAUGCGUUCCGACGCCGAAAGGUGAAGGCAAUCGUCUAAACUCCAUCCCAGUCCAGAUUGGGGGCUGGAACUCGUCCCCAUGAAGUUGGAAUCCCUAGUAAUCGCGUGUCAUCAUCGCGCGGUGAAUAUGUCCCCGCUCCUUGCACACACCGCCCGUCAAGUCAUCCAAGCGAGGUCUUAGUGAGGCCUGCCCUAAGGGCAUGUCGAGCUAGGGCUUCGUGAGGAGGAUUAAGUCGUAACAAGGUAACC